rnacentral:misc_RNA from 1 species
GAUUAAGAACGUAGCGAAAUGCGAUAAGUAAUGUGAAUUGCAGAAUUCAGUGAAUCAUCGAAUCUUUGAACGCACAUUGCGCCCGCCAGUAUUCUGGCGGGCAUGCCUGUUCGAGCGUCAUUUCAACCAUCAAGCCCCCGGCUUGUGUUGGGGACCUGCGGCUGCCGCAGGCCCUGAAAAGCAGUGGCGGGCUCGCUGUCACACCGAGCGUAGUAGAUUUCAUCUCGCUCAGGGCGUGCUGCGGGUUCCGGCCGUUAAACCACCUUCAUAACCCAAGGUUGACCUCGGAUCAGGUAGGAAGACCCGCUGAACUUAAGCAUAUCAAUAAGCGGAGGA